GUUUACGGCCAUACCAGUCUGGGUACGCCCGAUCUCGUCUGAUCUCGGAAGCUAAGCAGGGUUGGGCCUGGUUAGUACUUGGAUGGGAGACCGCCUGGGAAUACCAGGUGCUGUAAGCA
ensembl:rRNA 5S_rRNA 5S ribosomal RNA